UCUCCAGGGGAUCUUCCUGACCCAGAGAUCUAACCUGAGUCUGUGAGCUCUAAUUCCAUCUCUGUGCUGGCCUCUCUAUGUGGAUGGCUCCCUUCCCCAGCCCCCGCCCGUGGAUGUGAUGGCGGCUCCGGCUCUGCCCCGCUGUCUGUCCCUCCUCGUCCUCCUCUUGUCCCUGGCCAUCCCUCAGGCAUCUACAGCAGUGAACGGAUUGAGCAUCUCCUCACCUGGUAGGGACAGGAGUGGCGGGAGAACCCUUGAAGGCCAUGCGUGGCCUACAGCCAGCCCCACACGAAGCAUCUUCAAGGCAAAUGCUUCCAACAUCACAUGCUUCUAUAACUCGAGAGCCAACGUCUCCUGCACCUGGAACCAUGAUGAGGGCCUGCAGGCCACCGCCUGCUGCUUGCACAGCCGUCA